rnacentral:lncRNA from 1 species
UUGAAUUAUUUUGAAGGAAGCCAGGGAACUAAGGCAGAGGUGAAUGACAUAACCGUUAUGCCGUUCAUAACCUUCCAAGGCUCUCUGGAAGUAAAUGGAGCAUCAGGUUCAAGGGAUUGAUAAGUGGGCUGCUAUUGAUGGAAGUCUGGAAAAGUAAGGAGGAACUGCAUUAUGAAGAGCUUUGUUCUUUUUUUAAAUUAAGCAUUGUCUUUUUACUUGCCCCCUCCCUAUUUAAAACACAGGUGGAGACAUACACAUAUUAACUUAUAAUGAAGUUGAGCUAAACACAUUCAGCCAAUUUGCCAAGUCUAAAAAUGUAGGUCCCGUCAUGCAUCUUGAAUGCAUCCCUCUCUGUCAGGAGGCGACUGAAACACACGUCUUCACUGGUCCUUUGGAAUCAUGGUUGCUCAUUGCAUUGGUCAGAGUUCUCGGCUCUUUCAGAGUUUCUUUACAAUAUUAUUGCCUUUGUAUAAAUGAUUACCAGGUUUCUCAAUUACUCCUUUCAUCCUUUCUUAUAGCACAAUAGGAUUCUGUCAUGUUCAUGUAUCAUGAUAUAUUGAGCCAUUCCCUAGUGCAGUGCUUAUUUUCCAAGUCCUUGCCACUGCAAAAAGAAUUGCAAAGAUAGAUUAUUAGGUAGGUAGCUAGGUAGAUGAUUGGUAGAUUGAUAACUAGAUGAAGCAUUUAUUAAACCACAUUGCACUGAAUACCUGGGAUAUUUAUAAAAGUGAGCAAUGGCAUUACCUAGGAAUUUAACUACUCACGAGGGAAGACAGCACAUAAAGAGAAACAGGAAAGUUGGGGACAAAAGGGUGGAAGGGAAGGAAAUGUUUUUCAAAGUGGUAUUGGGUCAAGUUUUCCAGUUGUUUAAUAGCCAUAUUUAAAACUCUGACCCUUAUUUGAGGUUUUCUUGCCAAAGAUACUGGUGUGGGUUACCAUUUCCUUCUCCAUUGCAUUUUACAGAUGAGGAACUGAGGCAAACAGGGUUACAUGAUUAUCCAGGGUGACAGCUAGCAAGUGUCUCAGGCCGCUAAGAAAGCAAACUGCCAGAUAAUCAAGCGUGUUAAAAUCUGUAGAGAAGUCAAAAAAAGGGAGUGAGAAAAGACCACUAGAUUGGGUAGUUAAGAAUUUAUUGGUGGCUUUGGAGAGGGCAGUUUCAGUAGGAUAAUCAGAUUAGAAAUGAGAUUUGUAAGAGUUUAGAAAAAAGAUUUUAUUUUCCAGAAAAGAUCAGAGACUUGGCAAAGGGUUGGAUUUGAUGGCAGAACCUGGAUUGAAAUUUGAGACGGAGACAACUUUUUCACCACAGCUAACCCUGAAGGGGAUGCAGGUGAGAGUCGGGAUGCCUACAGGACAUAGCAGGAGAGGAUGUGUGACAGCAGGAGGAGGAGGAAACCAGAGCACAGUCACUAAUGUUUGCUGCCCUCAUGCAAGGACUGGGUUUGGGGGAAGCUUUUCCCCCACAGGAUCCCAGUUCCCAAGGCACUACUGCUGCUUGUCCCUGAGACACUGUAACAGGACCUUGCCUUCUGCUCUCACUGAGCAGAAUGCAGAAUGGGAAGAGGGAGAAAAUUUGGAUCACAAGGUUUUGCAAAAGUGAAUGUUGAAAAAUAUCUUUACAUGUAUUUGAAAAAAUAAACUAUUUAAAAAAAUAAAAGAAAAAGAAGUAGCACCUACUCUCCCCUUAGUUGUCACAAACCUUCCAUUUCCCAUCAGGCAUUUAGAAUGUAGAAUGAGGUGCAUGAGUGGUCUUUACUAGCACCUGACCUGUGCCCCAGCCUCGGCUCCUAUCUAGACUGUAUCACUGAGCUCAGAAGAGUGGGACUUCUGAAGCCUGUAUUGGCUGCUCUGAACUUACUGGCCUGAUUAAAAGUAGCACCUACUUGUAUCCCAGAGAUCAUAAAAAGAGAAAGGGACCCACACAUGUGCAAAAAUGUUUGUGGCAGUCUUUUUUGUAGUGGCAGGAAACUGGAAAAUGAGUGGAUGCCCAUCAGGUGGAGAAUGGUUGAAUAAAUUAUGGAUGUUAUGGAAUAUUAUUGUUGUAUAAGAAAUGAUGAGCAGAUUCCAUUAGAUUGUGAUGGAGAGAACCAUCUGUAUCCAGAAGGAGGACUGGGGGACUGGGAGGAAUAUGGAUCACAACAUAAUAUUUUCACCUAUUUUGUGUUUGCUUGCUUUUUUUUUUUUUUUUUUUUUUUUUUUUGUAUUUCUCAUUUUUUUUUCCUUUUUGAUCUGAUUUUCCUUGUCUAGCAUGAUAAAUGUGGAAAUAUGUUUAGAAGAAUUGCACCUGUUUAAUGUAUAUUGGAUUACUUGCUAUCUAGGGGAGGGGAUGGGAAAAAUUUGGAACAUAGCUUUUGCAAGAGUGAAUGUUGAAAACUAUCUUUGCAUGUGUUUUGAAAAUAAAAAGCUAUUAUUUUAAAAAAGGAAAGAAAUGAUGAGCAGGCUGAUUUCAGAAAGCCCUGGACUUACAUGAACUGAUACUGAGUUAAGUUAGCAGAAUUAAGAAAACAUUGUACACAGCAACAAAAUUAUGUGAUGAUCAACUGUGAUGGACUUCAACAAUGACCCCGAGGUCAUUCAGGGAAAUUCCACUAGACUUGUGUUGGAGAGAGCCAUCUGCAUCCAGAAAGAGAAAUAUGGGAACUGAAUGUAAACCCCCUUUUUUGUUGUUGUUUGCUUGUUUUCUUCUUUUUUUCUUGUGUUCUAUUUUUACCUUUUGAUCUGAUUGUUCUUGUGCAGCAUGAUGAAUAUGGAAAUAUGUUUAGCAAAAUUGCACAUGUUUUUGGAUUGGUUGGUUAUUGGAUUGGUUACUGUCUAGGGGAGGAGGAGGGAGAAAAUUUGGAUCACAAGGUUUUGCAAAAGUGAAUGUUGAAAAAUAUCUUUGCAUGUAUUUGAAAAAAUAAAAAACUAUUUGAAAAAAAAGUAACACCUACUCUCCCUUAGCUGUCACAAACCUCCCAUUUCCCACCAGGCAUUUAGGCAGCUGGGG